rnacentral:lncRNA from 1 species
GAUGACUUGUCUAGAUCUUAGGCAACAAUUCUCUUAGCACAUCAGCUCCUGGAAACAAAUGCACUUAACCAGAAAAAUAGGGACAUCAACCAGCAAAGAUGCAUCCUCAUUUAAUAGAGCUUGAAAUUACUAUAAUCUGUAAAGUACAGCGAGAAGAAGAAGUUUCACCUGCCUGCACAUCUGUCGUUGACUCUCCAUCUGACUUGGAGGGACUCUGAGGGACCAACCUGAGCCUGAGAAGAGGCAAGAUUCCCCUUCAAGGACACACUGGGAACUUACGGACCUCUUUCUCCAUGGUGCAGAGCGCACAGGUGAACGAACAGACUCAUAAUAGUUCUUGAGCUUGCCAUUGGGAAGUGAAAAUCGACUGCUUGAAUAAAUGUAAGGACUCAGGUAGACAUCACCUUGUGACUCAACAGCAGCCAAUAAGAUGGAAAUAAAGGCCAUGAAGUUAUCGGAUGGCAUCUACAAGGAAUACUUAGAUGAGGAGGUGACUCUGGUAGCAAUUGUUCUUUUGUCUUUCUCACCUUCCUUCUUGUCCUGUCUGGGAUGCUGAAGUGAUGGCUGGUAUACAGAUUCUCUGUUGUGAUGUUGAGAUAAACAUGAGAAUAAAAGUCAGCAAUUACAGAUGGCAGAGAAGAGAGAGAAAGAUAGGAUGUAGGUGGAUAUUGAUGGAACUAAGUUUCUAUUGCACAAGUUCUACCACUAACCUCUGGACUUCAUGAUAUGUGAGGGAGAAAUAAACUCCUAUUUUAGAAGAGAUCUAUGUUACCUGCAACUGAACGGAAUGCUUAAUUGGCACAUCCUAUGUGCUCCAAACCUUCCUUAAUUUCUGUGUGUAAGGCAUACUUAGUCUUUACCCAUUAUUCUGUUCACAUUCAUUCACUCGAUCAGCCUCCCAACUCUACAGUAAAGAGUUUACUAUAGUUUACUCUAUUAGUAAGGGAGAUUCUGGAGCAAGCCCCACAAAUCAUAGAUUGAAUACCCAUUCAUCAAGAGAGAGAUUUAAAGAUACUUCUAUCCAAACACAUUUUAAAUUUCCAGCACCUUUGAGGUGGUGGAGGUUCAUGGUGGUUGAUAGGUUUAAAUGACUUGUGAUUCAAGCUCCAUAUUAUAAUGUAACAGUGCAAAAGUUCAUUUUUUAAAAUUUAUUUUACUUUAAGUUCUGGUAUACAUGUGUAGAACAUGCGGGUUUGUUACAUAGGUAUACAUGUGCCAUGGUGGUUUGCUGCACCUAUCAAACCGUCACCUAGGUUUUAAGAACCACAUGCAUUAGGUAUUUGACCUAAUGUUCUCCCUCAUGUUGCCCCCCACUCCCUGACAGGGCCCAGUGUGUGAUGUUCCCCUCCCUGUGUCCAUGUGUUCUCAUUGUUCAACUCCCACUUAUGAGUGAGAACAUGUGGUGUUUGAUUUUCUGUUCCUGUGUUAGUUUGCUGAGAAUGAUGGCUUCCAGCUUCAUCCAUGUCCCUGCAAAGGACACGAACUCAUUCUUUUUUAUGGCUGCAUAAUAUUCCAUGAGUCUGGAUUUGGUUACAGAUAGAGCUGGACGAGCCUUAGCUAUAUCUAAUGGCUUUUGACAUGUUAUAUCAAUUUCUUACUGCUUUUGUAAAUGAAUAUAUUAAGAAGAAAAAAUUACAAAUGACCCUUUCUUUACAAACUUUUAGGGUAAUCAAGUUCAGUUAUUAAAAAAUGGAUGUUUGCAACAUUCAUAGUAAUUAUUUUCAGAAAAUUAAAAAUGAUUAAAAAUUAUAUUUUCAUCCCAUUCAGAUAUUAUAUAUUUAACUGUGAGAUAAUUCUCAGAGAUAAAUGUCAACUUUUAAAAAAUGCUAAAUAAAUUAAAUCAAAAUAUCCACUCUAAAAUAAAUAAAUUAGCUCCGAUUAUUUCUUCUUUUUAAAUUUUUCCUUAUAGUUGUAAAAAUAAAGUGAAC